rnacentral:lncRNA from 1 species
AUGUCCUGCGGGGCGAGGACCCACGGGGCUGCAGACGCAUGGGAUGGAGCCCCAGCGAGUGGGCGGCGGCGGACACCCACCAGGUCCGAAGCACCGGCCAGGCAGGGUCCUCCGUGCAGGGGCGAGGACAAGGUGCUGCGGCCUCCCAAGGCCAAGGGCCCCAAGCCUACCUGGGACGACGGCCCACGGGCCUGGAGGAGCUUCCCAGAGGGAGCUGGGGCGCCGGGGGGCACGGAGGUCAGCGUGGCCGCCGCCCGGGGCGCCCAGACAUCGCACCCCCUCCCCGAUCCAAAGUGUUUCCGGAAAACAAAACCGGUGGCGCGGGCGGAAGGGGGCGGGCACAGGCGCACCGAGGCCGCCGCUCCGCGCAGGGCCUGCAACAGGUCACCCCGCCGGGCCUCCCGCCGGCCCCGAGCGCCCGGAGCCCGGCACGGCAGGCUGGGGCAGGGUCCGGGCACGCGGGGGGGCCCUGGGCUGAGCGCGGGCGGCAGGCGCGGGACGAGCGGCGCGGGCAGCUCGCGGGGGCCUCGGGCCGGGGGCGGGGGCGGGGGCGUCGGCGGGGCUGGGAGCCGCGGGCCCGAGGCUGCGGGAGGGGACCCGGGGCGGAGGACGAGGCUGAGGCGGCGGCGCCCGGGACGUGGGCGUCGGGGUCCGGGGCCGGGGGGGCGCGGCGCGGCGGGCGCGUGGCCGGGGCGGGGCGCGUGGCCGGGGCGGGGGCGGCGGCGGGGGCGGCGCGCGUCCUUACCUCGGGGCCUCCGCCGUGGCCGUGGCCGUGGCUCCGCGGCCGGCCGGGCAGCGCGGCCCGGGCUCCCUCAGCAGCGCGGCGCGGGCCCCCGCUCCGGGCCCCGCUCGCGCCGCGGCUCCGGCUCCAGCGCCCGCUCGGGCCCCCGCUCCCGCUGCCGCUCCCGCGCCGCCGCCGCCGCCGGCCUCCGCAUGUUGGCGCGGGCCGUCCCCGCCGCGCGGGCGCCCGGCUCGCCCCGGUCUCGCAGCGUCGCUCGCGGCCCGCGCUUACGCCCCGGCGUCGGGGGAGGGCGCGCGCCCACUGCGCAGCCGCGGUCGGCCCGGGGCGCACGGCGCCUCGGCGCGGGGCGGGGCUUGGCGGCCGCGGACGCCGCCGCACGACGGUCGCCGCGCUUUGCGGCCGCUCCGGGACGGCCGGGCCGCGGCCCGCGGGGGGUGUCCGGAGGCGCGCGACCCGCGCGGGGGAGGGCGGGGGGCGGGGGGCGGAGGGGGGUGGGACCCGCGAGUGCGGGGACCGAGCCGGGCCGCGUCCGCCCUCCCGGGGGCGGGGCUCCCGCCGCCCGCCCGGGCCCGCCCGCCGUUGCCAUGGCGACGCGUGGCCGGCCGCCCCGCCGCGCUUCUGUGACGUCACGGUCUCGCCACCUGACGUCACGGCCGGGCGGUGGCGCGGCGCGGCGCGGGGCGGGGCGGGGCGGGGAGCCCGCGGGGGCGCUGCUGCCUCCGAGGGCGGACGCGGGUACCCGGGUCGGGCCUCCCGGGAGCCGAGCCCUGCGGGGGCAGGAGGCCGGGUCCGGAUGCUGGGGCCCCGGCUCUGACGGCCGCCCUGCUGCUGGUCCAGCCCGGCCUCUCCGAGCUGAGAAGGCCCCGCGGGCCAAGCAUCCCCCGUGGGGGCCGAGGCCGCGCCCCAGGAAAUCCGCUGAGGCGCCCGACGCCCAGGGGCCAGGGGCCAGGGGCCUGCCAGCCUCUCCUCUGGGGGGCCUCGAGGUGUACACGCGAGCUGCAGCCUCGCCCCCACAGAAAGCAGCAGGGCCAGGCCGCGGAAAGAACAUGGAACUGGCUGGGCCCGCGUGGCGCAGGUGA